rnacentral:rRNA from 1 species
GAUAGCGGCCAUAGGGCCUGGGAAACACCCGUUCCCAUCCCGAACACGGAAGUUAAGCCAGGCCACGAGGGGUUGUACUACCCUGAAGGGUGGGAAAACCCCUUGCUGCUAUCC